AGCGAACGUAUUAGCGGAAGUUUUCGGAUGGAAGCGGAUAUGACUUAGCGGCGGACGGGUGAGUAACGCGUGGAUAACCUGCCUCAUACAGGGGGAUAACAGUUAGAAAUGACUGCUAAUACCGCAUAAGCGCACAGGACCGCAUGGUCCGGUGUGAAAAACUCCGGUGGUAUGGGAUGGAUCCGCGUCUGAUUAGCUGGUUGGUGAGGUAACGGCCCACCAAGGCGACGAUCAGUAGCCGACCUGAGAGGGUGGCCGGCCACAUUGGGACUGAGACACGGCCCAAACUCCUACGGGAGGCAGCAGUGGGGAAUAUUGCACAAUGGGGGAAACCCUGAUGCAGCAACGCCGCGUGAGUGAAGAAGUAUUUCGGUAUGUAAAGCUCUAUCAGCAGGGAAGAAGAAAGACGGUACCUGACUAAGAAGCCCCGGCUAACUACGUGCCAGCAGCCGCGGUAAUACGUAGGGGGCAAGCGUUAUCCGGAUUUACUGGGUGUAAAGGGAGCGUAGACGGCUGUGCAAGUCUGAAGUGAAAGCCCGUGGCUCAACCGCGGAACUGCUUUGGAAACUGUAUAGCUUGAGUACUGGAGAGGCAGGCGGAAUUCCUAGUGUAGCGGUGAAAUGCGUAGAUAUUAGGAGGAACACCAGUGGCGAAGGCGGCCUGCUGGACAGAAACUGACGUUGAGGCUCGAAAGCGUGGGGAGCAAACAGGAUUAGAUACCCUGGUAGUCCACGCGGUAAACGAUGAAUGCUAGGUGUUGGGGAGCAAAGCUCUUCGGUGCCGUCGCNAACGCAGUAAGCAUUCCACCUGGGNAGUACGUUCGCAAGAAUGAAACUC
rnacentral:rRNA from 1 species